CUCCUCUGCACCAGACAUUGAACUAUAAAGUCAAUACAAUGAGGGUCAAGAAGCUUAUGACUUGAUGGUAAACAGAGAUGUAAACUGACUAUUACCAGUCUGGUUGCUAAGGGAUACAAUUGAUAUAUGCCCAGAUGUUAUGGAACCCAGGGAAGACCAUUGUACUGGGAGAGGAAGAGCAACUGGUCCUUCAGAGAAGGCUUACUGGAGGAAUGGGACUGGAACUGAGGUCUGAAGGAUGUGUAGAAAGUGAGAAGAAGAAAUUGGGAUUUUGGAUAUGGAAUGCUUUCAGUUUCAAAUGACAGAAACCUUACUCAGGCCAGAGGAAGCAAACCAGGGAACUGUAUAACUGGGACGACUGGGUGAAGCUGGCCUCAGACACACAAGCAUUCAGGUUUGCGGCUCUCCUCAGACUUACCUCUGCUGCUUCUUCCUCUGUGUUGGACUCAUUCUCUCCUAAUCAGGCUCCCUGAGUCCUCACCAGAAGUAGAUGCUGGCGCCACACUUCCUGUACAGCCUUCAGAACCAUGAGCCAAAAUAAACUCUUUUCUUUAUAAAUUACCCAGUCUCAGGUAUUUCUUUUUAGCAAUGCAAACAGACUAACACAGUAGUCCAUAUCCCUCUCCUAGCAGUUAUCACCCUGCCUCAUAACCAUUUACCGUCUGGCUCUGCACCGUGUGCUGUGUGUGCAUAUGCUCUAAGGAUGCUCUGUUUU
rnacentral:lncRNA from 1 species